rnacentral:lncRNA from 1 species
UGAUAGUGUUGGAGAAAAACAUCGCCGCCGAUGCCGACUAAUGACGGACGAUGAAGCAAAAAAAUGAAAAAAAAUAAAAUAAACACGGCAGAAAGUGGUGGUUAUUAAUAAAAACAAAAAUAUCCGUCGCUUUGUUGAAGUCCUGUAAAGAUUUUUAAUUGGACGAGAUGCGAUUUUUUUUUUUUUUUUUUUUCGGCGAUUUCUUUUGCGACAUUUCUAUAUGCAAACCGGAAACUCAAGAAGAUUUUUGAGCGAAGAAAUGAUAUUUCGGCGCUAAUCGAUCGGCUCGGAAUAUGCAGAAUUGGAUUAUAUCGGAUAACAAAUGUAAAGGUUACAUGUCUAAAAAUAGCCCACCACGGAAUUUUCGGAAAAUUCUCAAAUAGGAGAAUGAUGAUCGAUGCUCGACCGUAAGCGUUAUUUUGUAAUGAGUUUUGUAAACUCUGAUUAAUAAUAAUAAAUUCUGCUCAAUUUGUAUAAAUUUAUUUUGUUCGGCGUUCUAUUGGAAGAAGAAUAUCUCUCUUUCCGAUGGAUUCAAUUUUUUUUUUUUUUCGUACGUCCAUUAUUUUUAUAAACAAAAAUCUAUUUGAAGCGAGCAUUACUUCUUGGGGGAUUUCUGCAUACCGAAUUGAAGAAGUUAUAACAGUUUUGAUCCCCAGGGUGAUACGUCGAAUUCGAUGCAUUUUUGACGUUCGACUAUACACGAGUUUUCCGACGAAACUAUUAACCAUCUGGAAAAGAAUUUAUUUAUUUAUUUUUUUUUUUAUCAUUUUUCGAAUAUUUUAAAGUAAAAAAACUAGAAAGUAAACUUGGAACCAACACAGAAAGAAUUUCACGUUUUGCGACUCUCC